GAACCCUUGGCACAGUGGUAGCGCGUGAGAUUCCAGUCGGCGGAGCGAUCUGCCCAAGGGACUUCCUCAAGGUCGUCCGUUCGAUCCGGGCAGGGUUCA